UACGUAGGGGGCAAGCGUUGUCCGGAUUUAUUGGGCGUAAAGAGCGUGUAGGCGGCCAGGUAGGUCAGCUGUGAAAACUCGAGGCUCAACCUCGAGACGUCGGUUGAAACCACCUGGCUAGAGUCCGGAAGAGGAGAGUGGAAUUCACGGUGUAGCAGUGAAAUGCGUAGAUAUCGUGAGGAAGACCAGUGGCGAAGGCGGGUCUCUGGACAGUUCCUGACGCUGAGGCGCGAAGGCCAGGGGAGCAAACGGG
rnacentral:rRNA from 1 species